rnacentral:tRNA from 3 species
CAAAGCGUAGCUUAAACCAAAGCACCUGACUUACACUCAGGAGAUUUCACACUAAAGAACGCUUUGA